UUCGUGCGAAUGGUCGGCUUGCCAAUUCAAAGAGUUUGUAGAAAUUGGAUCAGCUAUUCUUAAUGCUUAAAAAUUCACCUCCCUCCCUUUCCUUUUCCCGACGACAGAUCACGGUAAAUUACUUUUUCCCUUUUGUUACUUUGACUUUCGUUUCCGUUGGGCUUCAUCCUUUUCUUUCUUUUCCUGUCAUUUUCAAAGGCUUCUGCAUUAGUCUACUUCUAGUAUUAAAGCAUUUGAAUUUGUAAGUUAUCAUACACACAUGCGAACGGACGUACGUACGGACAGUGACAACACUGACUUUAAAAAGACAACGAGUAGCGAUAAAGAAUGACGAAUACGGAAGACUAUGGAAAAAAAACGUAGUGAGCCGACACGCUAACAAGCACUGAACAGGCACUCACAAAUUGUGGCCUCAGACCGGAGAAAUUGUGAAUAAAAUUUUAAAGUGUGCUUUGCUGCUUUUUACAACAAUUAAUCGUCCGCUGUAUUAGUCAGCGUCGGCAAACACACAAACAAAUUUAGACUGUCGGAAAAAUAGCGUUGCUAACAACAAGCGUCAUCAAACACUCAGGCGUAGUUAACGAAACAACAUUUUGAAAUUAACGGCGAUAAAGCGAUAAUUCUUGUGAAAUAAAAAUCCAACGGAGGAGUGUUAGCAACGCAUUCAAGUAGUCGCAAGCACAAAAUACGAGAACAAAAGACGAUAAUGUGGAGGUGAAACCCCAAUUGCUAAACGAGUGGGGGAAACGAAAGAAGUAAAGUGCGAGUGAAGCGAGGAAGUAAUUACAUACUAGUAAAGCAGCGAAUUGAAGUUAGAACAAUAGAAACCGAUAUUUUACAUCGACUGGCAAUUUGAAACUAACAAAAGUUGUAUACGUUGAACGAGGAAAGCAGAAAACUAUAAGAUCGACAUAUUUUUUUUUAUUAAUUACUUUUGACAUUUCUACUAGUUUGUUCCGAACUAUUUUUUGUUACUGUAAAACUUUUUGAAUGGUCCCUAACUAUUGUUAAAGAUACAUUCAUAUUUAUAAGUGAAUAUUUUGAAUUAUAACAGUGCAUUGCGAGAACGGACAGAUAAGCUUCGCUGGUGUUGUGAAACUGCUGUAAAACUUUCAUAUAUGUAUAUGUGUAUAAAGUCAAUAUGAAUGUGGAACCAGAAGGUUUUGAAUUCGCUAAAAUGAGUAAUGUUCAACACGAGGUGGAAGAAAGAGAAAUCGAGUUACUAGAUGAGUUUCAGGAGAUAUGUUCGAGGGCAGGGGAAAAUACCGAUAACGUAGUUAUUAAAGAAUUGAUAAAUAGUUAUAAACCUCAAUGUAUUGAAAAAUUUCCAUAUGAAAUGAAGAUCGUUUUAAGCGAUGAAGUACCAAUAUUCCAAAGUCCACGAACACUGUCUUUAGAAGACAGAAAUUUCGUAAACCAGCAGGUGGAAAAUUGGCUAGAAGCUGACAUUAUACAGCCAAGUUUUUCAAAUUAUGCAUCUCCAGUUGUUAUAGCAAAACGAUCAAAACGGUUAUGUUGCGACUACAGGUUGUUAAACAAGAAAAUCGUUCAGGAUAACUUUCCCGUGAUCACGAUGUGGGACAGUUUCGACAUGUUGCUGAAAGCAAAAAUUUUUACAAAAUUGGUCUUGGAAGAUGGAGAAUGUCAUGUGCCUAUAGCUGAAGAUUCGAGAAAAUAUACAGCAUUCGUUACUCAAGAUGGACAUUACGAAUUUAAAUACGUACCAUUCGGUAUACGUAACUCACGAGAUGUAUUUUCUAGAUUUUUAAAUUAUGUUUUCGGAGACCUUAUAAAAGACAAAACGAUUGGUAUACAUAUCACCGACAUCAUUAUUCCAACCAAAGACAUCGAUGAAGGGAUAAUGAAACUGAGACAAGUUUUAGAAUUAGCAUCGCGAUACGGUGUGCGUAUCAAAUGGGAAAAGUGUGAAUUUUUA